rnacentral:tRNA from 1 species
GGGUCUGUGCCCGAGCUUUAAAGGAUCACCUUGAUAGGGUGACUUACAGGGGUUAAAAUCCCCUCAGGCCCU